GAAUCGCUAGUAAUCGCGGAUCAGCAUGCCGCGGUGAAUACGUUCCCGGGCCUUGUACACACCGCCCGUCACACCAUGGGAGUGGGUUGCAAAAGAAGUGGGUAGCUUAACCUUCGGGAGGGCGCUCACCACUUUGUGAUUCAUGACUGGGGUGAAGUCGUAACAAGGUAGCCCUAGGGGAACCUGGGGCUGGAUCACCUCCUUUAAAAAGUUUCGCCGGGUCGGCGGAGUACUCACAUAAAUUACCUAUCCACAGUUAAAGCAGAUACAGGCCUGUUGCUUGAAGCAUCUGUACUGCACUUGAGCAAAUUGGGUCUGUAGCUCAGUUGGUUAGAGCGCACCCCUGAUAAGGGUGAGGUCGGAGGUUCAAAUCCUCCCAGACCCACCAGAUUGGAGUUCAGGGGCCAUAGCUCAGCUGGGAGAGCGCCUGCCUUGCACGCAGGAGGUCGGCGGUUCGAUCCCGCCUGGCUCCACCAAAUUCAUGAGUGGGAAGUGUCUAGCGAGAAGGCUAGCCACUUUGCAUUUGCGAAGUCUGCUCUUUAAAAAUUAGGUUAGAUCGCUGAUAGGUGAUAUCGAAAGAUAUCCUUAUCAAUUAAGUAUCUAAGUUUCUCAAGGCUUAGAUACUGGGUAUGUUGCAUUCGUAACCAUUGAUUGUA
rnacentral:rRNA from 1 species